rnacentral:rRNA from 1 species
GGGGAAUAUUGCACAAUGGGCGAAAGCCUGAUGCAGCAACGCCGCGUGAGUGAUGAAGGUCUUCGGAUUGUAAAGCUCUGUCUUUUGGGACGAUAAUGACGGUACCAAAGGAGGAAGCCACGGCUAACUACGUGCCAGCAGCCGCGGUAAUACGUAGGUGGCGAGCGUUGUCCGGAUUUACUGGGCGUAAAGGGUGCGUAGGCGGAUGUUUAAGUGAGAUGUGAAAUACCCGGGCUUAACUUGGGUGCUGCAUUUCAAACUGGAUAUCUAGAGUGCAGGAGAGGAGAAUGGAAUUCCUAGUGUAGCGGUGAAAUGCGUAGAGAUUAGGAAGAACACCAGUGGCGAAGGCGAUUCUCUGGACUGUAACUGACGCUGAGGCACGAAAGCGUGGGUAGCAAACA